AUUGAACGCUGGCGGCAGGCCUAACACAUGCAAGUCGAGCGGAUGAAGGGAGCUUGCUCCUGGAUUCAGCGGCGGACGGGUGAGUAAUGCCUAGGAAUCUGCCUGGUAGUGGGGGAUAACGUCCGGAAACGGGCGCUAAUGCCGCAUACGUCCUGAGGGAGAAAGUGGGGGAUCUUCGGACCUCACGCUAUCAGAUGAGCCUAGGUCGGAUUAGCUAGUCGGUGGGGUAAAGGCCUACCAAGGCGACGAUCCGUAACUGGUCUGAGAGGAUGAUCAGUCACACUGGAACUGAGACACGGUCCAGACUCCUACGGGAGGCAGCAGUGGGGAAUAUUGGACAAUGGGCGAAAGCCUGAUCCAGCCAUGCCGCGUGUGUGAAGAAGGUCUUCGGAUUGUAAAGCACUUUAAGUUGGGAGGAAGGGCAGUAAGUUAAUACCUUGCUGUUUUGACGUUACCAACAGAAUAAGCACCGGCUAACUUCGUG
rnacentral:rRNA from 1 species